rnacentral:rRNA from 1 species
UACGUAGGGUGCGAGCGUUGUCCGGAAUUAUUGGGCGUAAAGGGCUCGUAGGCGGUUUGUCGCGUCGGGAGUGAAAACCCAGGGCUUAACCCUGGGCUGGCUUCCGAUACGGGCAGACUAGAGGUAUGCAGGGGAGAACGGAAUUCCUGGUGUAGCGGUGAAAUGCGCAGAUAUCGGGAGGAACACCAGUGGCGAAGGCGGUUGCCUGGAGCUUGCUGACGCUGAUGCGCGAAAGCGUGGGGAGCGAUCCGG